rnacentral:rRNA from 1 species
AAUCAACGCUGGCGGCGUGCCUCAGACAUGCAAGUCGAACGAUUAAAGCUCUCUUCGGAGAGUGCAUAAAGUGGCGCACGGGUGAGUAACACGUAAGUAAUCUACCCUCGAGUGGGGAAUAACGUCCGGAAACGGACGCUAAUACCGCAUAAUGCAGCGGCAUCGCAAGAUGACAGUUGUUAAAGAUUUAUCGCUUGAAGAGGAGCUUGCGGCAGAUAGCUAGUUGGUAAGGUAAUGGCUUACCAAGGCUACGAUCUGUAACCGGUCUAAGAGGACGGUCGGUCACACUGACACUGAAUAACGGGUCAGACUCCUACGGGAGGCAGCAGUCGGGAAUUUUGGGCAAUGGGCGAAAGCCUGACCCAGCAACGCCGCGUGAAGGAUGAAGUAUUUCGGUA